rnacentral:rRNA from 1 species
GACGAACGCUGGCGGCGUGCUUAACACAUGCAAGUCGAACGGAGCACCCUUGACUGAGGUUUCGGCCAAAUGAUAGGAAUGCUUAGUGGCGGACUGGUGAGUAACGCGUGAGGAACCUGCCUUUCAGAGGGGGACAACAGUUGGAAACGACUGCUAAUACCGCAUGACGCAUUUUGAUCGCAUGGUCGAAAUGCAAAAGAUUUAUCGCUGAAAGAUGGCCUCGCGUCUGAUUAGCUAGUUGGUGAGGUAACGGCCCACCAAGGCGACGAUCAGUAGCCGGACUGAGAGGUUGGCCGGCCACAUUGGGACUGAGAUACGGCCCAGACUCCUACGGGAGGCAGCAGUGGGGAAUAUUGGGCAAUGGGCGCAAGCCUGACCCAGCAACGCCGCGUGAAGGAAGAAGGCUUUCGGGUUGUAAACUUCUUUUAAGUGGGAAGAGCAGAAGACGGUACCACUUGAAUAAGCCACGGCUAACUACGUGCCAGCCGCCGCAGUAA